GUGAUCACAGUUUUUGAGAAUCACAACGAGGCAUUAAAGAAGGGGAGGAGUAUCCCAAGGGAGGAGAACUUGGCUUUCUUGGUCAAGUACCACAGUGAAAACUAACCCCAGGCAGACAGCAUGGACAACAGGAAGAUGGACAAGUGUCAUGCCUCACAGAUCUUACAGAUUCUUCAGCUGCUCAGAUAGAUGUGCUGCAGGGUGAUAGUAAGAUUCUGCAUCUCUGAUCAUCUGAUGUCUUAAGAAUAUUAAGAAGGGCCUGAUUGUUUGAACCUCAGCUUCACCCUGGAGUCUGACACCAAAGGAUGCCUGACAGAGGCAGGCUGCAGUCCACAGCACACAACAGGGAAGAGCAGGAAGGGGCUCAUUCCUGAGGUGGAGCUGCUGCAGAAGGCACCUGAGGUCUCAGAGCUGCACACUGAAGACAGGCUGCGGCUUCACAGAACUUCAGCUCCCUGGAACCUUCCCUGAUAGGGGAGGGUUAAAAAAGGAACGGCUGACCCUAAUGUGCAAACUGCCACAAGCACUUCUUGUGUUUCUAUUAGCGUAAGAUGGCUCGAGGGGGCUGCAAGGCCGAUGUGGUUAAUAUUUCAUUUUUAGGG